rnacentral:rRNA from 1 species
UACCAGCACCCCGAGUGGUCGGGACGAUUAUUGGGCCUAAAGCAUCCGUAGCCGGUUCUGCAAGUCUUCCGUUAAAUCCAGCUGCUUAACAGAUGGGCUGCGGGGGAUACUACAGAGCUAGGAGGCGGGAGAGGCAAGCGGUACUCAGUGGGUAGGGGUAAAAUCCGUUGAUCCAUUGAAGACCACCAGUGGCGAAGGCGGCUUGCCAGAACGCACUCGACGGUGAGGGAUGAAAGCUGGGGGAGCAAACCGGAUUAGAUACCCCCGUAGUCC